rnacentral:rRNA from 1 species
GGAAGGUCCGGGCGUUAUCCGGAUUUAUUGGGUUUAAAGGGAGCGUAGGCCGGAGAUUAAGCGUGUUGUGAAAUGUAGAUGCUCAACAUCUGAACUGCAGCGCGAACUGGUUUCCUUGAGUACGCACAAAGUGGGCGGAAUUUGUGGUGUAGCGGUGAAAUGCUUAGAUAUCACGAAGAACUCCGAUUGCGAAGGCAGCUCACUGGAGCGCAACUGACGCUGAAGCUCGAAAGUGCGGGUAUCGAACAGGAUUAGAUACCCUGGUAGUCCGCACGGUAAACGAUGAAUACUCGCUGUAGGCGAUAUACGGUCUGCGGCCAAGCGAAAGCAUUAAGUAUUCCACCUGGGGAGU